GACGAACGCUGGCGGCGUGCUUAACACAUGCAAGUCGAGCGGUAAGGCCCCUUCGGGGGGUACACGAGCGGCGAACGGGUGAGUAACACGUGGGUGACCUGCCCUCAGCUCUGGGGAUAAGCCUGGGAAACUGGGUCUAAUACCGGAUAUGACUCCAUGACGCAUGUCGUGGGGUGGAAAGCCUUGUGCGGCUGGGGGAUGGGCCCGCGGCCUAUCAGCUUUGUUGGUGGGGGUGAUGGCCUACCAAGGCGACGACGGGUAGCUGGUCUGAGAGGAUGGCCAGCCACAUUGGGACUGAGACACGGCCCAGACUCCUACGGGAGGCAGCAGUGGGGAAUAUUGCGCAAUGGGCGAAAGCCUGACGCAGCGACGCCGCGUGUGGGAUGACGGCCU
rnacentral:rRNA from 1 species